rnacentral:rRNA from 1 species
CCGCGUUAGAUUAGAUAGUUGGUGGGGUAAUGGCCUACCAAGUCUACGAUCUAUAGCUGGUUUUAGAGGACGAUCAGCAACACUGGGACUGAGACACGGCCCAGACUCCUACGGGAGGCAGCAGUGGGGAAUCUUAGACAAUGGGCGCAAGCCUGAUCUAGCCAUGCCGCGUGAGUGAUGAAGGCCUUAGGGUCGUAAAGCUCUUUCGCCAGGGAUGAUAAUGACAGUACCUGGUAAAGAAACCCCGGCUAACUCCGUGCCAGCAGCCGCGGUAAUACGGAGGGGGUUAGCGUUGUUCGGAAUUACUGGGCGUAAAGCGUACGUAGGCGGAUCAGAAAGUUGGGGGUGAAAUCCCGGGGCUCAACCCCGGAACUGCCUCCAAAACUCCUGGUCUUGAGUUCGAGAGAGGUGAGUGGAAUUCCAAGUGUAGAGGUGAAAUUCGUAGAUAUUCGGAGGAACACCAGUGGCGAAGGCGGCUCACUGGCUCGAUACUGACGCUGAGGUACGAAAGUGUGGGGAGCAAACAGGAUU